ACGUGGUCAUAUGUGAUAUGAUAUUUGAUAAACUCAGUUCCUUGUGAUAUGUUAGUCUAUAAUAAUAUAAACAUCAUCUCAUACUAUAUUUUAGGUGCCUCCUAGACUAGACCGUAUAUAUCAAACCCAAUUCGAUGAAAUUGAAUAAACGCGCCAACAAUUCCAUCCAUCCAGAUCCAGAAAAACAUUACAGAACCAACGUGAUUUAGUUUUUGAGCUAGCGUCAUAUACAAUUCCGGAAGUGAUGUUUUCGACGUACGGGUCCGAACUACUCAAUCCUGAUAUGGGUUGUAUAAGCGAAUUACACUACUCUUACAAGCUGAACCAAACAUAUUUUAUAAACAUUAUUCGUGCGACUUAAUGCAAAAAUAGAACAGCUACAGUUAGUGAGUGAAACGAUAUCACUAUCAACAGUUUAAUCAUCUCUUAAAACAUUUAAAAGGAAAUUCUACAUCACAGUUCAUGUAU